UGGGGAAUAUUGCACAAUGGGCGCAAGCCUGAUGCAGCGACGCCGCGUGGGGGAUGACGGCCUUCGGGUUGUAAACUCCUUUCGCUAGGGACGAAGCUUUUUGUGACGGUACCUAGAUAAGAAGCACCGGCUAACUACGUGCCAGCAGCCGCGGUAAUACGUAGGGUGCGAGCGUUGUCCGGAAUUACUGGGCGUAAAGGGCUCGUAGGUGGUUUGUCGCGUCGUCUGUGAAAUUCCGGGGCUUAACUCCGGGCGUGCAGGCGAUACGGGCAUAACUUGAGUACUGUAGGGGUAACUGGAAUUCCUGGUGUAGCGGUGAAAUUCGUAGAUAUUCGGAGGAACACCAGUGGCGAAGGCGGCUCACUGGACCAUUACUGACGCUGAGGUGCGAAAGCGUGGGGAGCAAACAGG
rnacentral:rRNA from 1 species